rnacentral:rRNA from 1 species
CUACGGGAGGCAGCAGUGGGGAAUAUUGGACAAUGGGCGCAAGCCUGAUCCAGCCAUACCGCGUGGGUGAAGAAGGCCUUCGGGUUGUAAAGCCCUUUUGUUGGGAAAGAAAUCCAGCCGGCUAAUACCUGGUUGGGAUGACGGUACCCAAAGAAUAAGCACCGGCUAACUUCGUGCCAGCAGCCGCGGUAAUACGAAGGGUGCAAGCGUUACUCGGAAUUACUGGGCGUAAAGCGUGCGUAGGUGGUCGUUUAAGUCCGUUGUGAAAGCCCUGGGCUCAACCUGGGAACUGCAGUGGAUACUGGGCGACUAGAGUGUGGUAGAGGGUAGCGGAAUUCCUGGUGUAGCAGUGAAAUGCGUAGAGAUCAGGAGGAACAUCCAUGGCGAAGGCAGCUACCUGGACCAACACUG